rnacentral:rRNA from 1 species
ACACAUGCAAGUCGAACGGGUGUCGCAAGACAUCAGUGGCAGACGGGUGAGUAACACGUGGGAACCUUCCUAGGGGUACGGAACAACUCAGGGAAACUUGAGCUAAUACCGUAUACGUCCGUAAGGAGAAAGAUUCAUCGCCCCUAGACGGGCCCGCGUCGGAUUAGCUAGUUGGUGGGGUAACGGCCUACCAAGGCGACGGGUAGCUGGUCUGAGAGGAUGGCCAGCCACAUUGGGACUGAGACACGGCCCAGACUCCUACGGGAGGCAGCAGUGGGGAAUCUUGCGCAAUGGCCGCAAGGCUGACGCAGCGACGCCGCGUGUGGGAUGACGGCCUUCGGGUUGUAAACCACUGUCGGGAGGGACGAAUACUCGGCUUCGAAUAGGAGCCCGAGGGUGACGGUACCUCCAAAGGAAGCACCGGCUAACUCCGUGCCAGCAGCCGCGGUAAUACGUAGGGUGCAAGCGUUAAUCGGAAUUACUGGGCGUAAAGCGCGCGCAGGCGGUUUUGUAAGUUUGUCGUGAAAGCCCCGGGCUCAACCUGGGAAUUGCGAUGAAGACUGCAAGGCUUGAAUCUGGCAGAGGGGGGUAGAAUUCCACGUGUAGCAGUGAAAUGCGUAGAGAUGUGGAGGAACACCGAUGGCGAAGGCAGCCCCCUGGGUCAAGAUUGACGCUCAUGCACGAAAGCG